AUCCACUGACUAGUCCCAAAUAGGACGAAAUGAGCAUCCUGGAU
rnacentral:hammerhead_ribozyme from 1 species